CAAUAGCGUAUAUUUAAGUUGUUGCAGUUAAAAAGCUCGUAGUUGGAUUUCGGGUGGGACGCAGCGGUCUCGCAUUGCGUUUGUACUGCUGCAGCCCUCCUUCUUGCCGGGGGCGGCCUCUCGGACUUCACUGUCUGGGGGUCAGAAUCGGCGAUGUUACUUUGAGUAAAUUAGAGUGUUCAAAGCAAGCUUACGCUCUGAAUAUAAUAGCAUGGGAUAACACGACAGGACUCUGGCCUAUCGUGUUGUUCUAUAGGACCAGAGUAAUGAUUAAGAGGGACAGUCGGGGGCAUUCGUAUUCCGUUGUCAGAGGUGAAAUUCUUGGAUUUACGGAAGACGAACAUCUGCGAAAGCAUUUGCCAAGGAUGUUUUCAUUGA
rnacentral:rRNA from 1 species